rnacentral:lncRNA from 1 species
AAGUACCAGAUUAACAGAAUCAGAGGUUCCUGCAACUUAUUCUUUUUCCAAUGCCCCUUGGUAAUCAUUAUCCUACCUGACCGUUAGAUCUCUUUUUGUUUUCGGUUCAGGCAUUUCUUCCAUUAUUUUUUCUUUUUCUUUUCUUUUUCCUUUUUCUUUUCUCUUUUUUUUUUUUUAGCAGGAUCGACCUCGACUCCUCUUUCGUUCACAAUAAGCCUCGGCAACUUACCGGACAAC